rnacentral:tRNA from 1 species
AAGGUUUUAAGUUAAUUAAACUAACAGCCUUCAAAGCUGUAAAUAUAGAAAGUUCUUUAAACCUUA